rnacentral:rRNA from 1 species
AUUGAACGCUGGCGGCAGGCCUAACACAUGCAAGUCGAGCGGGGUUUUCGGACCUAGCGGCGGACGGGUGAGUAAUGCGUAGGAAGCUGCCUUCUACACUGGGAUAACUCCGGGAAACCGGGGCUAACACCGGAUAUGAAACUUGGUGGCAUCACCGAGUUUGGAAAGUUUUUUCGGAGAAGAUGACCUCGCGGCCUAUCAGCUUGUGGUNAGGUAAUGGCUCACCAAGGCGACGACGGGUAGCCGGCCUGAGAGGGCGACCGGCCACACUGGGACUGAGACACGGCCCAGACUCCACGGGAGGCAGCAGU